CCAUAACAACAGCACCAGUGUCUUGACAAAACGUACAUAAGUGAAGAAAAAUAGAAUGUUAUUCAAGCUGAUAAUUUUGGUUAUUGUAAUAACAUCCCAGGGAGAAGGUUUCCCUAAUCCUGAGACUACUACUGAGUGUGUCUACACUAAGCCCAUUCACUGUAUACAAAACAAAACUGUUGCCGAUUAUGUUUUGAUAGGCUUUCAAUCUUUGCCGAGAGGUGGAUGAGAGAUACAAUAAAAUGUUUGACCAAUAAACCAUACAUAAUUAA